CCCCGCCCCAAGAGGUGGCCUUUGCGCUCUGACUGAAUAAUGUAUUUUCGUCCCUGAGCCAGCCUCAGGGAAACAGCCUAAGUUACAGUACACAACAAAAGCCAACAUUUCACCUGCGUGCCCAACUGGAGACCUGCAACCACAACACAACAACCUGAAGUCGUUUACUGCAGGAAAUGUGCGUAAUUACGCACGGAACUGAAGGAAUUUAGCGACCAGACGGGCAGGAUGGGAUGCUCCACCAGUACCCAAACUUCAGCGGUAGAUACGACUCGACCAAGCGCUAAGCUCGAGGAGAGCAACGGAGCCAGCACUACAGGAGCGGCCAAUGAAAAUGGGAAUGUAGCUGAGGACAGUGAAACUAUUCCAGACCAGACACCUGCUGAGGGAAGCGAUGCCAAGCCUGGAGAUGAGCCUGCUGAAGAGCCUGCCGUGACAGCCGCGUCUGCAGACACCACAGCUGCAACUCCACCAGCAGCAGAAGAGUCUCAGGAUGCAGCCAGCAGCCCGCCCGCUGAGACUUCAGCAGCAGCAGGAGACAGCACCGCUGAGACAGCAGCAAGCUCCUCAGAGGCUGAAGCUCCUGCCCCAGAGCCAGAAAAAGGGGAUGCCGGAGCGACUGACUCAGAGCCCAAAACAGACGAGACACCUGCUCCCAGUGAGUGACGUGCGACAUGACCGACUGCACAGAGGAGUUUAUCUGCACGCAUGAGUGAAAGUAUGUCCGUGUGUGUGUGUGUGUGUGUGUAUGAGAAAGAAAGACAUUGUCUUGUUGCCAAGAUCCAGACCCCGUGGAAACCACUUUGAGUCCGGGUGCUCAGUCACCACUGUGCCUUCUUCCUCCUCCUGGAUGUCUGCAGUCUCUCCUCUUUGACUGUGAAUAGAGUUCAACAGCACUUAGGUUUCUUUAUCUGUAACAGGUAGUAAACAGCUGAGAGAAGCUUAGAUUACUAUUUAUUAUCUGUAAUGAAAUAGCACCAUAAACUGUAUGUCCUUAACUUAUUCUUGAAACCUAAGAGUUUGUUUCUGUGAAAACGAAAGCCAAAGUAUAUUAGAUAUUAGAAGAUAUUAUAUUUCUUUUUUGGGGGGUGAGGGGUAGCUAGCUUUGAUUUUAUUAUCAUAUUUAAAGUAGGCGUAAAUCUAAGAGGGUUUUUUCCUGAUGUGUCAUGAUUUUUAGUAUUCCCAAAAAUCUGUAAUUAGCAAUAAGCUGUUGAAAAAUUAAAAAGAUCUUAAAAUAAAACCGAGUACACAUAUUCUCUGUGUUUUAAUUCGAUGCAGGAUGAAAGCAAACAUGUCACACUGUGAUACAGCAUUUUUUUUUUUUUUUUAAUGAGUGAAAUUAUCAAACCAGAAGCCAAGAGGAGGUUCAGAUGAUGUUGGGGCUUUUCCAUCUGAGUGUCCAGUCCCACUGGAUCCCUACUCUUUGUUUAAUGAGCAGCCUCUGAGGUGUUAACAACUGAAUGUGUGGACAUCUAUGAAUGUCCACACAGUCUCCAACAUUUCUGUGGACUUUGUUUACUUAUAAUUUUGGGUGUAAUGAAAAAAACGCGUCAAAUUUUUCCAGCAAAAUUCCCUCCGCAACGGCGAAUUCGUUGUACUGUGUUGUAUUUCACACAUACUAACCCAUCCCUUCUCUGUUAUGGUCAGUUCAGCUUCCCAUUUCUUUUUAAGGUAAAAGGUUGUAUCCUGUCUAUCUUCUUCUAAUGAUCUGUAGAAGAUGGAAAUUGCUUUGAAUUGUUCAUAGCAAUUGAUUACUAGUUACAACUCAAUGUUGCUCUAUUGUAAAUUUAAAUAUUGAAAGACUG
ensembl:lncRNA